UACGGAGGGUGCAAGCGUUAUCCGGAUUUACUGGGUUUAAAGGGUGCGUAGGUGGGUAAGUAAGUCAGUGGUGAAAUCUUCGAGCUUAACUCGGAAACUGCCAUUGAUACUAUUUUAUCUUGAAUACUUUGGAGGUAAGCGGAAUAUGUCAUGUAGCGUGAAUGACUUAGAUAUGACAUAGAACACCAAAUUGCGAAGGCAGCUUACUACACAGUUAUUGACACUGAGGCACGAAAGCGUGGGAGC
rnacentral:rRNA from 1 species